rnacentral:rRNA from 1 species
AGCGGAGGAAAAGAAACCAACAGGGAUUGCCCUAGUAACGGCGAGUGAAGCGGCAACAGCUCAAAUUUGAAAGCUGGCCUUCGGGUCCGCAUUGUAAUUUGUAGAGGAUGCUUUGGGGCAGCCGCCUGUCUAAGUUCCUUGGAACAGGACGUCAUAGAGGGUGAGAAUCCCGUAUGUGACAGGACAUGGCACCCUAUGUAAAGCUCCUUCGACGAGUCGAGUUGUUUGGGAAUGCAGCUCUAAAUGGGAGGUAAAUUUCUUCUAAAGCUAAAUACCGGCGAGAGACCGAUAGCGCACAAGUAGAGUGAUCGAAAGAUGAAAAGCACUUUGGAAAGAGAGUUAAAAAGCACGUGAAAUUGUUGAAAGGGAAGCGCUUGCAAUCAGACUUGUUUUGACUGUUCGGCCGGUCUUCUGACCGGUUUACUCAGUCUGGACAGGCCAGCAUCAGUUUUGGCGGCCGGAUAAAGGCCUAGGGAAUGUGGCUCCCGCUUCGGUGGGAGUGUUAUAGCCCUGGGUGUAAUACGGCCAGCCGGGACUGAGGUCCGCGCUUCGGCUAGGAUGCUGGCGUAAUGGUUGUAAGCGACCCGUCUUGA